GGAGCAGGCGGCACUAAGGGUCUGUGGUGAAAGAUCGAAGCUUAACUUCGGUAAGCCAUGGAAACCGUAGAGCUAGAGUGUGUGAGAGGAUCGUGGAAUUCCAUGUGUAGCGGUGAAAUGCGUAGAUAUAUGGAGGAACACCAGUGGCGGAGGCGACGAUCUGGCGCAUAACUGACGCUCAGUCCCGAAAGCGUGGGGAGCAAAUA
rnacentral:rRNA from 1 species